UAUGGACACAUUUUUGAAUUUCUAUGUGUUAACGUAUAAGUUCACAGAGAGCGUGACUGCUAAAAAAAAAAUAAAUUUCGCCAAGUUCUGCCGCCCCUCAAAUUUAGUCGCCCUAGGCCGGGGCCUAUUUGGCCUAUCGAGAAACCCGCCCCUGGUUGAUAUAGUUCUAAGAAGUACACGAGAAUUGAGAGUUCGAGGGGCAUCCGCGGUCGCGGCGAUGUAAAAAUUUGACAUUUUACAUUUCGAGGUUACGUUCGGGUUCAUCAGCUGACCCAGCUGACUGCAACACUCAACUAAAAGCACACGGUGCUCUCGUAGACCAGCUGAUGAGCGAAACGCGGGCAUGCUGGCUUCGUAAUCCUGCAUUUUGCUCCAGUAUUUUUCGCCUACGUUUUCGUUCCUGUAAAUGCACGACCAUCGAUUUCCUCGAAUGCUUUUUCAAAAUUUCACGAUUGAAAUUUUCUCAAAGAAAGACGAUAAUGAGCAAACUGCAGGAGUUUGGAGAAAACAGCUGGUAAGCUGUUCCAAAAAGGAAAUAAAAUAAAAAACUUACUUACCUUAUAUCUGAUUUUAAUCAAUCCUCAUAACAUCUUGGCUGGUGAAAAGGGAUAAAACUUUUAAUCUUUCGUACUGAUCGUUCAGUCCGGCAGUUCAUUUUAUCUGAUCGAUAGCUUGCUUGGAAAACGUUAAAAUAUAUUAGUAUAAAAAUGUAGGUCGACUGCUGUAGCUGCUGAUCAGCUGAUCCCACGUGCAUGUACAGCAUGUGCUUUGCGCAAGUGCACUGCGCAUACCCGCUGCGCACACCGGAAGUGCCUCAGUUCUAGGGACCCUAGGUGAAAUCACCUAAUUAUAAAUCAUUUAAUAUCAAUUAAAAUAUCAACUCUCGAACGAUUUUCUUUCACUCUCAAUCUCUCUCAAACGAUUCUCAAACGAUUAAAAAAAAAAUGAAACGUCUAAGUCCAUUUUUCCAGGAGAUAAAAAAAAUGGGGGCCAGCUUCACGCCAAAAAAUAAAAUCAUUUUUGCCAAAAAAAUAAUUACUCUCAAACAAUUUUUUUUUUCUCUCAUACUCUCUCUAACGACUCUCAAACGAUUUGCAUUAACGAAAGUUUAAAAUAAUUAAAUGGGGGGGCCAAGUUAACGGAGGUAGCUCUACUGAUGUAAUAAAAGGUGUGAUUGAUAUUUGGAACAAUUUCUCCAUUCCGACAAGUCGCAUUCAACACAUCAUUAAGAAAUUCGAGAAAUUUUAUGAUCAAUACAAAAAGUUUAAAAUUGAUCACAAGAAAAAAAAUAAACCACCAGCACAACAACAAAGAAUUCAGAAUUUUACACAACAGUUGGAUCAAUUAUUUGACAUAGCUAAUUGCGAAGAAACUAUACAUUUACCAGAGUAUUUACAAGUCUAUUUAACGAAAUGCCGAGAGAAAGGUACCAAUAAUAAGUGUGUACCACUUGAAUGUAUGUCAUUUGAACAGUUGACUAUUGGCAAUCAGCUAUAUGUUGCAGAAAUAACAAAUGAAAAUAAUAAUACUGGGGAAAUUGUUUCAAGUCAAAAAUCAGUUCAGUUCUCAUUGUCAGAUAUUAUUGGUAGUCAGUCGUCGAAAGGCAGUGAUUUUAAACGUGAUCAUUCGGAUUUUGAAGAUGAACUACCUGAAGUAAAAAUUAGGAAGACAUCCAUCAUAACACCUGAGCUUGUUUCGGCAUUAGACCGUAAUCAAAUCAGCACUAGAUCAGCAAUGCAUGUUAUAUCUGCAGUACUUCUCAGUCUCGGAUUAGACAUCAAUGACUAUAAUCUAAGUUAUUCAACGAUAUAUAAUGCUCGCAAAAAAUUCAGAGAAGAGAUUGUGGAGAAAAUUAAAAAUGAGCUACAACUGCCUAGAUGUUUAAUUGUCCAUUGUGGGAUGGAAAAUCAUUGCCUACUGAUUUCUGCAAAAAAAAGUAGAGCGACUUCCUAUUGCUGUCACUGGAGUAAAUACUGAUCAACUCCUAGCAGCUCCAAUGGUUAAUGAAGCAACAGGAAUCAAAGAAGCUGAAGUUGUUUUUGAAGUUUUGAACCAAUGGAAUAUCAUUGAUAGCAUAAAAGGAAUGUGUUUCGAUACUCCAGCCGUAAAUACUGGUAUUAAAAAUGGAGCAUGCACUUUGUUAAUGCAAAAAUUACAAAAGGAUUUAUUGCAUUUGGCAUGUCGGCAUCAUAUUUAUGAAAUAAUUCUAAGAAACGUGGUGGAAGUCGCUUGGCCAAUUACAUGCGGACCAAAUGUGAUGAUUUUCAAAAGAUUUCAAGACUAUUGGGAUAAAAUAGACAUCUCUCAAUAUGAUAUUGGAAUUGAUGACCCUGAAAUAAAAAAUAUCCUGGAUGGGAUAAAGAAUGAAAAACUUUGUUUUAUUCAAAGUCAAUUAAAGAAUCAUCAACCGCGAGACGAUUAUCGUGAGAUUUUGACCCUCAGCUAUAUUUUUUUGGGUGGUAUUCCAAAUGGAGGUAUCAAAUUUCGAGCUCCAGGGGCAAAUCAUCACGCAAGAUAGCUAUCUAAAGCAUUGUAUUGUCUAAAAAUAUAUAUGUUUCGAAAACAGUUCGAAAUAUCUAAAAGCGAUGUUAAGGCACUUCGAGAAAUUUGUGUCUUCCUGAUUCUGUUUUAUAUUGAAAGAUGGUUCACAGCUCCAGAUGUGACUCAAGCUCCUUAUGGUGAUUUCAAGUUAUUUUAAAAUUUGUUAGCGUACAAAAAAAUUCAUCCUAGGAUAGCUUCGGCUGCACUUGAAAAAUUGUGUCUUCAUUUCUGGUACUUGCACGAACACCUUGCUGUUUUAGCACUAUUUGACCGAUCGGUACCACGUGAGCAAAAAUUGAAAAUGAUCGAUUCACUUAAGACCAAAAACUUUUCAAAACUUCCCGCGAAACGUAUCACAGUAAAAAAUAAGAAAGAUUAUGUUUCAUUCGCAAAAAAAGAGAUUAGUGAGUUUGUCAGUAAGGAAUCAUUAUUUAUUUUCAAGCAGUUUGAGUUAUCUUGGGACUUUAUUGACAUCGAUCCUGAGUCGUGGGAUUCGAACGAGAGUUAUAAAAAAUGUUUCGAGACAUUUAAACAAUUACAAGUUGUCAAUGACACCGCGGAGCGAGGAGUGGCAUUAAUUGAAAAGUACAAUAAUUGUUUAACUCAUGAUGAAGAACAGCGACAAUAUAUUCUCCAAAUCGUUCAAGACCACAGUAAAAAAUAUCCAUCGGGUAACAAACAAGAGUUUGUAUUACCUGAUGCUUCACUAUAAGUCUAUUAAAUGAUGUUAAAAAUUUAAGUCGCAAAAUUGAUUACGUAUUUAUGAGAAUAUUGAAUAAAAAUUUUUUCCAUUCUAAUAAUAAUUAUUAUAACUUUAUUAAUGAUAUUACUCUCAGUAGUAUAAGAAAUAAAACAAAAUGAUUUUAAAAUCUCAAUGUAUGAUUUAUUGAUUCCAUU